UACGGAGGGUGCAAGCGUUGUUCGGAAUGACUGGGCGUAAAGCGCACGUAGGCGGGUCCGUAAGUCGGAUGUGAAAUCCCCAGGCUUAACCUGGGAACUGCACCCGAAACUAUGGAUCUUGAAUGCUUGAGAGGUUGGUGGAACUCCGAGUGUAGAGGUGAAAUUCGUAGAUAUUCGGAAGAACACCAGUGGCGAAGGCGGCUCACUGGCCCGAUACUGACGCUGAGGCACGAAAGCGUGGGGAGCAAACAGG
rnacentral:rRNA from 1 species